ACAACACAGCAACAAUCAUGCUACUGCAGAGCAGACCACACCACAGCAACAACACCCAAGAACCAGUUCAGCUAUACCAAUGCACAAUAGGGGUGUGGGUAUUUAUACCUACCCAAAUGGGUAUCAAAGAAUAGCUACUCCUAUAUCACAACAUUUCCCCACACCACAGAGGCAAAGACCUCCUGCAGCUUUCUAUUCUGAUCAUGGGGGUGAGCAAACCAUCUACUCCUUCCCUGCACAUGACUUCCCAUUGUCACAGACUCAACCAAGUCAAGGACACACAAUAUCAAGCCAAGCAUUGCAGGAUCUUGCAAUGGCUAGAAGAUUAGAAAAAAGACCAUGAG